AAGUCGUAACAAGGUCUCCGUUGGUGAACCAGCGGAGGGAUCAUUACCGAGUUUACAACUCCCAAACCCCUGUGAACAUACCUAUACGUUGCCUCGGCGGAUCAGCCCGCGCCCUGUAAAAAGGGACGGCCCGCCCGAGGACCCUAAACUCUGUUUUUAGUGGAACUUCUGAGUAAAACAAACAAAUAAAUCAAAACUUUCAACAACGGAUCUCUUGGUUCUG
rnacentral:misc_RNA from 2 species